UACGUAGGGGCAAGCGUUGUCCGGAAUUAUUGGGCGUAAAGAGCGCGCAGGUGGUUGAUUAAGUCUGAUGUGAAAGCCCACGGCUUAACCGUGGAGGGUCAUUGGAAACUGGUCGACUUGAGUGCAGAAGAGGGAAGUGGAAUUCCAUGUGUAGCGGUGAAAUGCGUAGAGAUAUGGAGGAACACCAGUGGCGAAGACGGCUUCCUGGUCUGUAACUGACACUGAGGCGCGAAAGCGUGGGGAGCAAACAGGAUUAGAUACCCU
rnacentral:rRNA from 1 species